rnacentral:rRNA from 1 species
CGUUGUCCGGAUUUAUUGGGCGUAAAGAGCGUGUCGGCGGCCAGGUAGGUCGGUUGUGAAAACUAGAGGCUCAACCUCUAGACGUCGACCGAAACCACUUGGCUAGAGUCCGGAAGAGGAGAGUGGAAUUCCUGGUGUAGCGGUGAAAUGCGCAGAUAUCAGGAAGAACACCCGUGGCGAAGGCGGCUCUCUGGGACGGGACUGACGCUGAGACGCGAAAGCGUGGGGAGCGAACAGG